rnacentral:tRNA from 1 species
CAGUGGUGCAGUGGUUAGCACUCUUGCCUCACAGCAAUAAUUCCCGUGGUUCAAGUCCCGGCUG